UGGGUCAUGAGAUGGAUGACAACAAAGCAAAGAAGACUGAAGAGUGGUUAGGAAGAUGGAAGGAGAAUAAAGAUGAAGGAUUCAGAGAAAUUAAGGAGUAUAUUCAGGAGAUGGGAGUGAAAGACUGUCGACUAAGAGUUUACAGUCUGUGAUAAAUGUGAAUUACUGACAAAUUCCUGACAGAUUCACGUCAGAUUAAAUCCUCCCCCAAUGUUCUUAAAAGAAUACAUCCCAUAUCUAUGGUCAAAAGAGAAGACCAUCAAUGGGUCCUUCAAAUGUACAAAUGGCACUGACAUAAUUAUGAAGUCGCCUUCUGCUGGACAGAGACAAAAUGGCAAGCCACUUCCAGCCUCCCCAACUUCCAUCCUCAGAGUGCAGAGUUUGCAGCUUACUCUCCCUACCCUCUUUGUCUUAGAAUAUUCACUGAAGUCUUACACAUGUGUGUGUGCAUGUAUAUGUGUGUACACAUUGUCAGUCUGUGUGCUUCAAGUGGAAGAUUUCCCAGUCCUUCCAUUCAUCUACUAAGCUUCUUUGGUUGUCAAAAUCCACUUGCCUACAUCACAGCUCAAUGAAGCCCUUUCCUUGGUCUCUGUAGCUUAUCCCAGCCACAAAAAUGUCCUACCUAGAUGUGAAGCAGGAAAAGAAAUAGGAGAAGGAAGAGGAGGAGGAGGAAAAGAAGAACAAAAACAGGAACAAGAAGAGGAAGAGCUAACUUUUAAAUUGUACUUUGAGAUUUGCAAACAGCUUAACAUAUAUUACCU
rnacentral:lncRNA from 1 species